rnacentral:rRNA from 1 species
ACGAACGCUGGCGGCGUGCUUAACACAUGCAAGUCGAACGGAAAGGCCCUGCUUGCAGGGUACUCGAGUGGCGAACGGGUGAGUAACACGUGGGUGAUCUGCCCUGCACUUCGGGAUAAGCCUGGGAAACUGGGUCUAAUACCGGAUAGGAGCCAUUUUUAGUGUGAUGGUUGGAAAGUCUUUUCGGUGUAGGAUGAGCUCGCGGCCUAUCAGCUUGUUGGUGGGGUAAUGGCCUACCAAGGCGGCGACGGGUAGCCGGCCUGAGAGGGUGGACGGCCACAUUGGGACUGAGAUACGGCCCAGACUCCUACGGGAGGCAGCAGUGGGGAAUAUUGCACAAUGGGCGCAAGCCUGAUGCAGCGACGCCGCGUGGGGGAUGACGGCCUUCGGGUUGUAAACUCCUUUCGCUAGGGACGAAGCUUUUUGUGACGGUACCUAGAUAAGAAGCACCGGCUAACUACGUG